CCCUUAGAUGUUCUGGGCCGCACGCGUGCUACACUGAGUGGAUCAGCGGGUCAGGUUGCGCGAAAGUGUUUCCUAAUCUUGAAAUCCGCUCGUGAUGGGGAUUGACGGUUGCAAUUUUCUGUCAUGAACGAGGAAUACCUUGUAAGCGCGGGUCAUCAUCCCGCGCUGAAUACGUCCCUGCCCUUUGUACACACCGCCCGUCGCACCUACCGAUUGGAUGGUCCGGUGAAGCCUCGGGAUUGUGGUUCUUGCCGCUUUAUUGUGGCGUGACCGCGAGAACUUGUCUAAACCUUAUCAUCUAGAGGAAGGUGAAGUCGUAACA
rnacentral:rRNA from 1 species